rnacentral:rRNA from 1 species
UACGGGGGGGGGCAAGCGUUGUUCGGAAUUACUGGGCGUAAAGGGCUCGUAGGCGGCCAACUAAAUCGGACGUGAAAUCCCCAGGCUCAACCUGGGAACUGCGUCCGAUACUGGAUGGCUUGAAUCCGGGAGAGGGAUGCAGAAUUCCAGGUGUAGCGGUGAAAUGCGUAGAUAUCUGGAGGAAUACCGGUGGCGAAGGCGGCAUCCUGGACCGGCAUUGACGCUGAGGAGCGAAAAGCCAGGGGAGCAAACGGG